rnacentral:tRNA from 3 species
GGGCCUGUAGUAAAAUGGCAUUACACGUCAUUCGCAUUGACGAGGCGCGAGUUCGAUUCUCGCCAGGUCCACCA